CCUUCCUCCUUCUCUAUCCCCUCUCCUCUCCGCCGCAGAACGCGUUAGGUGACAGCGCGCGCGCGCGCGGAGUGGAAUAUCCAUCAGCGCCGUCGUCGUCUUUCAUCCCUUCAGUCUCCACUCGGUCCUUCCUUCGGACUCCUGGUACCCGGAGCUGCCGCAGCCGCGCUCCUCCUCCUCCGCCCUCCCCCACCGCACGCGCUGCUCUGCCUUGGGACGCUGUCCGCUCCGCGCUCGCGCAGAUUAUGCGUGGAUUCUGCGCGCUGAUGCUGAUGUCCUUGAGCUCGGCCUGCACGAUCCUGAUGGUACAGCAGUAGCUACAUCUGAAGUGGAUUUGCUUCCUGUCUCUGAAUCAUCAGCCGCCUUUGCCUUGCUCGCCCCUCUCUCCACCUGUCCAUCAUCUCUUCAUCCCUGUCUGUCACUCCGUCAGCCUGUCCAUUUGUCCAUGGACCGGCUGUGACCCUGGAGGGAGGGGGGCAGAAACGAGCAAAGAGUGGAAUCACGGAGGAGACAACGGAAAAAUAAACCUGGAUUCAUUCAGACAUCACACCUUUCAAGUGACCCUGGUCUUUGUCCUUCAUCCCCCUCAUCCCCCUUCUGUUCCUCCUCCUCUUCCUGUUAUGGAGAGGUAAUGGUGGAAGAAUAGGCUGAGAUA